UACGGGGGGGAGCAAGCGUUGUUCGGAUUUACUGGGCGUAAAGGGCGCGUAGGCGGUCGUGACAAGUCACUUGUGAAAUCUCCGGGCUUAACUCGGAACGGUCAAGUGAUACUGUCGGACUAGAGUACAGAAGGGGGCAACUGGAAUUCUCGGUGUAGCGGUGAAAAUGCGUAGAUAUCAGGAGGAACACCGUGGCGAAGGC
rnacentral:rRNA from 1 species